AGAGUUUGAUCCUGGCUCAGGACGAACGCUGGCGGCGUGCUUAACACAUGCAAGUCGAGCGAUGAAGCUUCCUUCGGGAAGUGGAUUAGCGGCGGACGGGUGAGUAACACGUGGGUAACCUGCCUCAAAGUGGGGGAUAGCCUUCCGAAAGGAAGAUUAAUACCGCAUAAUAUAAGAGAAUCGCAUGAUUUUCUUAUCAAAGAUUUAUUGCUUUGAGAUGGACCCGCGGCGCAUUAGCUAGUUGGUAAGGUAACGGCUUACCAAGGCAACGAUGCGUAGCCGACCUGAGAGGGUGAUCGGCCACAUUGGAACUGAGACACGGUCCAGACUCCUACGGGAGGCAGCAGUGGGGAAUAUUGCGCAAUGGGGGAAACCCUGACGCAGCAACGCCGCGUGGGUGAUGAAGGUCUUCGGAUUGUAAAGCCCUGUUUUCUAGGACGAUAAUGACGGUACUAGAGGAGGAAGCCACGGCUAACUACGUGCCAGCAGCCGCGGUAAUACGUAGGUGGCGAGCGUUGUCCGGAUUUACUGGGCGUAAAGGGUGCGUAGGCGGAUGUUUAAGUGGGAUGUGAAAUCCCCGGGCUUAACCUGGGGGCUGCAUUCCAAACUGGAUAUCUAGAGUGCAGGAGAGGAAAGCGGAAUUCCUAGUGUAGCGGUGAAAUGCGUAGAGAUUAGGAAGAACCCCAGUGGCGAAGGCGGCUUUCUGGACUGUAACUGACGCUGAGGCACGAAAGCGUGGGUAGCAAACAGGAUUAGAUACCCUGGUAGUCCACGCCGUAAACGAUGGAUACUAGGUGUAGGGGGUAUCAACUCCCCCUGUGCCGCAGUUAACACAAUAAGUAUCCCGCCUGGGGAGUACGGUCGCAAG
rnacentral:rRNA from 1 species